ACAAAAAUGGAUGGUUUUAUAAGAAUAAUUAAUAGAGGGAGGUGAUGAUGUUCCACUCUGGAUUUACCAUGGAGGUGGGUAUCGCGUCACAUCUUAAAGUAUAUGUACUAUGUACCUUCCCUGGCAACACUCCUCCCCAUCCAACCCCAAUAAUAAUAUACUAAGGAGGAAGAAGAAGAAGAAGAAAUGAAGAAUAGUUUCGUUGAUCAUCGUCAUCAUGUGGGUUUAGCAAAGAGUUGCUUACAGAGUUUAUUGGCAUUCUGUCCACCUCCUUUCAUUUCUAUCUUUUCCUUAGCGGAGGGAGGAGGUGGACAUGCUGCCAACUGAGUUCUGUUGCCUUCUCUUUGUAAAGCCCUCCUGAUAUCUAUCUAUCUUCUUUCCCAACAAGUAAGGUGAUUUGAUAUUGUAUCUGCCGCGAUGAUCUAUGAUGUUGAUAAUUACUAGAUUGGAUUGGAUUACCAACUGAUAAAAGGAGGAGAUUUGAUUUGAGUAGGGUUCGAGUUCGUGCAUUGCAUGCCUCAUCUGACAUGCCUUUUGAAUGGUACAAGAUAGUUACGCUCUACUGUAUUCGUAUGUGUGUAUGUAUUAUUGGGGAAACUAGAGAAUACGUUAAUUUCUACGGUCCAACUCUCUUGAACUAACGUCAAGACCUAGCUAGGCUCAUCAUUGAAGAUUGCACACUCAACUAAGUCCACUUAUUGCUGUUUUGUUAUUCACCCAA